rnacentral:misc_RNA from 1 species
UGUCCAUAAACCAGUUCUCUGCAGACGUUCCAGAAACUCUCUGGUGGGCUCAACAACACCACCACCACCGACAGUCCAUCAUGGAACCAAACCCAAACGCUCCUUCCUCUAAACCACACAAGCUCCCUAUCUCAAACCCCAAUUCUUCUUGGCCUUCCCACCUCUACCCUCACUAUCACCACCUCCAUCCCAUGUUCUCUCCCCAUAACCCCAGUCUCAGUUUCAAUCUCAACCACGGGGACGAUGAAGAACAAGACCCUGAAGAAGAGCCACCCCUCAAGCAACAAGAACAACAAGUUCACCAAGAACUGGAAAAAGAACCCAUGUUCGAGAAACCCUUAACACCAAGUGAUGUUGGGAAGCUAAACCGUUUAGUAAUACCAAAACAGUAUGCGGAGAAAUAUUUCCCUCUGGGCGGUGACUCGGUUGAUAAAGUUCUUUUACUGAGUUUCGAGGACGAAUUAGGCAAGUUCUGGAGGUUCAGGUAUUCUUAUUGGAGCAGUAGCCAGAGCUAUGUAUUAACAAAAGGGUGGAGCAGGUAUGUGAAGGAGAAGCAACUCGAUGCAGGCGACAUCGUUUUAUUCGAACGACACCGUAUGGAUAGUGAGAGGCUGUUUAUAGGGUGGAGGAGAAGAGGAGAUAACAGCAGCAGUGGGGUGGUGGUGCAGGGUAGCAGUGGUGGGGUGUGGACUAGGGGAUUGUAUUCUUCUUCAUCUGGGCACCAACCUUAUCAACAUGGCCAUGGGGCUAACCUUACUGCUUGUGUCCCACAUCAACCUGAGGGUCUCCAUGCAGGGUCUGGUGUGCAGAACCAGAUAAUACCAUUGGGGAACUCAAAGAGGCUGAGGCUAUUUGGAGUAAACUUGGAGUGCCAAAUCGAUGAAUCAGAGCCAUCUACAGCAGAUGGUUCGUCUUUAUCAAGCCAGGGUCCAACCCAACAGCAACUCUACAGCUUUUACUCAUCAGCUUAUUAAAGCUUAUUCUUCUUCUUCUUCAAAUAGCAGUCGUAGUCACAUGGUAAGCUACAUGUAGUUUUAAUAUAAUAUAAAUUUAGCUUAAAAGGGAAGUUAUAACUUCUAAGCUUAUUCUCUACUGUAUAGUUUUGAUUUAGCUGUUUCUUAUAGAGAGACAGAUUACUAUAUAAUAAUAGUAAAGAGAUUAGUUGAUUAAUGAGGCCAAAGGUAGGCCAACCCAG